GACGAACGCUGGCGGCGCGCUUAACACAUGCAAGUCGAACGGAAAGGCCUGCUUUCCCUUGUGGAUUGCGGGUACUCGAGUGGCGAACGGGUGAGUAACACGUGAGUGAUCUGCCCCCAACUUGGGUAUAAGCCUGGGAAACUGGGUCUAAUUCCCGAUAGGACUGCAGGGUGGUGCCUGUGGUGGAAAACGAUUUUCUAGUGGUCGGGGAUGAGCUCGCGGCCUAUCAGCUUGUUGGUGGGGUAAUGGCCUACCAAGGCGGCGACGGGUAGCCGGCCUGGGAGGGUGGACGGCCACAUUGGGACUGAGGUACGGCCCAGACUCCUACGGGAGGCAGCAGUGGGGAAUAUUGCACAAUGGGCGGAAGCCUGAUGCAGCGACGCCGCGUGGGGGAUGACGGCCUUCGGGUUGUAAACUCCUUUCGACCGCGAGGAAGCCACCUGGUUGGAAGGGUGGUGACGGUAGUGGUAGAAGAAGCACCGGCUAACUACGUG
rnacentral:rRNA from 1 species